UGUAAGUACUUACAAACAUAUAAAAGAUAUUGUUUUUUUUUUAAUGUAUAUUUUCUCCAAAUUAUGAAAACUCAUUUUGCUUUGCACAUUUUGAACUACAGGUGAAACUUCAUGGAUCGUUUGAUUUUAUUUUUGUGGAUGCUGAUAAAGACAACUAUCUUAACUACCACAAAAGGUUAAUUGACCUUAUCAAAAUUGGAGGUGUCAUUGGCUACGACAACACCCUUUGGAACGGGUCUUUAGUGGCCCCACCAGAUGCACCACUCAGGAAGUAUGUUAGGUAUUACAGAGAUUUCGUGUUGGAGCUUAACAAGGCAUUGGCCGUUGAUCCGAGGGUGGAGAUUUGCCAACUUCCGGUCGGUGAUGGAAUCACUUUGUGCCGUCGUAUAAGUUAAUCACAAAUCACGGAUAAACUUUCGUACACAUACAACUGUUCUUUCUUUCUUUUUUGAGAUUCGUACGUGUAUCCAAGUCUUGUAAGAGAACGAGGGGUUUAAUCUUGUGCUUUUCUGAGACAGCUUAUAGCAAUAAUUUUUGUCAAAAUUGACUCUUUUGGAGAGAGCAAUUGUGUUUCGCAAAAACGAAAAAGAGCAAUGAGUUUUUUGUUUGUGACACAUACAUAGACAACCAUACACAACACAAAGUCACAGAGGUUAUGUAAACAAAGUGACAAUAUUAUGUAAUAACAUUGUAUUUUGAAAGCCCUUAUAACUAUAGCUGGACAUUAUUUAAAAAGGAUUACAAACAAUCAUAAAUAAACNUGUGUAUGUGUAUGUGUGUGUGUGUAUAUAUAUAUAUAUAUAUAUAUAUAGAGAGAGAGAGAGAGAGAGAGAGCUAGGUUCAAAUGUUUCUAGCAACUAUUGUGUGCCUAAAUACACCAAUGAGAAUUGAAGAAAUAAUAAAUAAUUAAAUAAAUCAUUAAAGGGUAUCUUGGACAUUUUGUGUUUUUAAUUAAGGAAAUCAUUUAAUUGAAAUCCAGCAAUUAAGGAAAUAAAAUAAAUAUAUUUGACCUAGGAUCUCUCUCUUUAUUCGUCAUCUCCUUCUUAUAAACCUAGCCCACCAUGCUCUCACCGCCUUCUCCCAUCGUCGACUAAUGUCCAACCCCAUUGAAAUCGAUUGUGGCUUAUUUGCUCAACCAAUCAGAAUUGUAGGGUUUUUUCCAACCUUUUUUUUUUUUUUUGAUCGGGAAAUAGGGAAAAGGCACACAAUAAGGAAAGCAUGAGGCAGAAUCAUUAGGGGAAAAGGACUUCAAUAUGUGCAUUCUGAUCGAGAAGGAGGACCACGGUUGAGAAUGACCGCAAGAUCGAUCAAUGGUCCAGUGGCUAAAUUCGCGAGGAGAGGCGAGCAACACAAGAGGUCGCCGCCUCUUUUCUUUCAUUGGGAAGAGAAAUUGAUGCCUCUCGGUGUUUGCAGGAUGAAGCGAGGGCAGCAAGGGCUAAUUGACUAGAAGUAUCAAUCAACGAGGAAACCCUUCCCCUUUCUUAUUUGUGCAAAAAAUCAAGAAACUUGGGGUUACUCAAUCUGUUCUUGAAUCACCAGUUACCGAGGAGAUGCUGGUAAGUUUACAUGAACUUUAUUGCUCUUUGAUUAAGUUUUUUGAGUUGGGUUUAUUUAAAUUUUUAAUUUUUUCAGAAAUUUGAGACACCAUUCUUUGAUGGUAGAGAACUUGUAUAUGGAAGUAUUGAUCAUUCAAUCUAUGUUUAUGAUGUUGAAGCAAACAGACUUUCCCUUAGAAUUCAAGCACAUACGGUAAUAGUAUACCCAUUUUAGCAAUAAUUAAUCUUGAUUUUACAAUUAGGUUGUUGGUUGAGAGUGCAUAUCGUUUUUGGCUGAAGUGAAUGUGAUAUAUUUAUUUAGUAAAACCUAAAUACUUGUUCAUGGACGACUUGUUGUGGAUCUUGAUUGAUUUGUUAUAAAUUGGUUGGAUUAUUUAUUAGAGUAACAUAGGUUGUUACAUGAUGUAGUCAAAUGUAAACAAUAUGUGCUUUGCUGAUGAAGCCAAUCAUCAAAUAUAUUCUGGGAGUGAAGACAAUUUGUGUAAGGUAAUAAGAAACAAUUGUUUGUAGUUGGAAAUCCUUCUUUUAUUUUUAUUUUUUUUAAUGGAUGGGGAAAUAGUGAUAUAAGAUGGAUUUUAUGUAUAUACAGGUUUGGGACAGAAGAUGCUUGAGAUCAAAAGGAAAACCUGUUGGAAUCCUGAUGGGGCAGCUGGAAUGAAUUACAUUUUUUGACAGCAAUGGAGUGGUCGGUAUUUCAUUAUAUAUAUAUAUAUAUANAAACACCCCUUAUAGACCAGCUUCGUGAAUGAGGCCUACUAACGGUAAGAGUGACUUUUAGUCAUAUAUAUAUAUAUAUAUAUAUUCUGUUAGAAUUAAAUGGUAAUUGCACUUUAGAUUAUAUGAUUCGAUUAGAAUUUGAGGUUUUUUUUUUGUAAUAGAUGUUUCUCUCGAUAUGCCACUUAUAUGAUAUCAUGACAAUUAUUCUCAUAAUAUGAUUUCAUGAUUCAGGGAAUACUUGAUCAAGUGACUUGAGUAUUACAUUAUGUUAGAAUAAAUUAAAAGGCUUUAAUGUCUAACACAUUCUAUUAGAAUUUAUAGUGUAUUCUUUUAGAAUAUAUUGAAAGUUAUAAUAUUUUAAAGUUGAUCAUGUUUUUUUUUAAUGUAGGUUUUGAAGGGGCUGACAUUGAUGUGAAAAAUGAAGAAAACAAAGAGAACAAGAGUAUUUUAGCAGAAUGUUGUUAUUUUUUAAGAAUUUUAUUCAUUUUUGUUGAUAUUCUUUUGGAAUAUGUAUAAUUAUAUUAAAAUGUAUAAGACUUUUAGGUUGUAAGAAUAUAUAUGAAUUUGUAUUUAAGUUCGAUGUAUAAGAAUAUAUUAGAAUAUUGUUAUUUUUUAACCUCGGAUUCAAUAAUUUUGUUAUUUUUCAACAGUAUUCUAAUAGAAUAAAAUUCUGAAAGAACAUCAUUCUAACAAAAAAAUAUUCUGACAGAAUAAAAUCGAUUAUUUUUACAAAUUACGUUAGGAUUAAAAUUGAAUUAAUUAAAAAAAUUCAUAGUUUUAAAAUUAGGAGAACUAAUUAUCCCUAAAAAUCCGAAAAUUUCCUUUUAUAAUUGUAGUUAAUUGUCCAAAAUACCAUUUUGCUAAAAUUUGUGUGAAUAUAUGGUACAUGCUAUCCCAUUGUAAUAUCAUAGACCCUCAGAUCAUGACAUUUGACUAUAUUCCAUCCGAUGGUCCAGAUCUGUGCAUUCUGGUACACAAUAGUUACUAAAAACAAAAUAACAUAACCCUAUAUAUAUAUAUAUNNNNNNNNUUAUUACAUUCAAAGUAAUUAUUGUGUUAUUGUAUGCAUAAGGUGAGUGCUAAAGCGCUGCAAGAAUCUUUUUUAGAAAGAUUCAGCGACAAAGUUUUGCCCCUGUAGAGCCCGAAUCCUAGCUAAAACCCCAUUGUAAGUAAGUUAUACUUACCCUAUUUUAAAUAUAGCUUAUAUUUAGAAUUAAUAUUGUUAUUAUGAACUUAUAAUAAAUAUUUGAGUUAUUAUUAUUACUUAUAUAAUUGUCGUUAUAACAUCUUUUUAACUAUUCACGGUACGGGGAAUCUGUUAAAAGGGCCGCAUAGGGUUGUUGGAUUUCAGAAGUGCUAUAUGCCAAAAUGGUCAUGCCCUCCGGUGUUUUAUGUCUGGCUCCUGUCUGUACAUAGUGGUUGGAAAAUAUUGUUUAAACGCUUAUAUAAUAAUAAUAAUAAUAAUGCUAAGACUAAUAAUUAGUCACGGUAAAUAUUAGAUUAAAAUUUAGCGAUAAUAAUGUUAUGUUUCGUCGAAGGAAAAUAGAAUCGCUAAAAGCAAAGCGCUGCCUGAGUUUGGAAUCAUCACUUUAACAAGUGAGUGCAUAGUUACUUUCAUCUUACACAUAGAUAUGAAAUAUUUUCUUUAAUUACGUGUUAUCUGUGUAUAUUAUCUGUAUACUUGUUAUCUAUGCUGGAUGAACACUAUUUUUAAAUGAUUUAAACUGUAUACGUAUUUUAUACCUAUAAAUUACACGGGGUAAAGAUGGGUAGAUGAAAGAUCAAUUGGAUGAUGAAAUGAAAGGUGAAAUAGAUCAUGAGAUGAGGGUGGGAGGUGAAAAAUAAGAGAAGCCUUUACCCAAGCGUUAGUCUCGUCAUCUAGCAGAGUAUGGAUGACAAUCACGGACUAUUCUAGACAGUCUGGUGGAACACUAGCAAGCUCGCAACCUGUAGGUGUUGUGAACGAGACGUUCGCCCGGUGUACUCUAAAAACCCAUUGACAUGUAUUGCGAUUGGACUCUCAAAAAUAAUACUGUCAAUAAACGAGAUAAACCUUGGAGACUAUGGACUUAGUGACUGUUAUAUAAACUUUGGAUACUAUGGACUUAGUGUCUAUUAUAUAAACCCUGGCGACGAUGGACUUCGUGUAUAUUCCUUAGGACAAUCCUUAAGAAUAAAUAAUGAGGAGUAGAUGAUUCAUAGAGAAUAUACUUAAGAAUAAAGAAGAUAAUGGGGAUGGGUAAAUGAGUUAAUUGUUUGAUGAUGAAACAUAAUAACUAUAUUAUUGUGGGUUGAAAACCCUAUGUACUCAACAGGUUUUCCAACCUGACCCACUCAGUUUAUUUGUAUCACAAGUGUCGAUAUGAAAUUACAUUACACCGCGAGAUUAAGGAGAUGUAAAUCACUAGUGUAAAUGAAUGUAAAGUCUAUUUAUGCUUAUAUUUCUGUGUUGACAAUGACAUCCCAAAGUUUUAAAAUGAAUAAAAUACAUUUCUUAGGAAAUGUUUUGAUAACAUAUUUAUCAUGUUUUUUUCGAGAACAAAUUUUGCAACACUUUUCUUUAAAAUAUUACUCUGAUUUUAAAAUAAGCAUAAAUAAAAUUUUUAAAAUGGCCGUGAAUUUGGAGAUGUCACAAUUCGGCAUGACCUUUGGACAAAUUGGAUAAAUCCAUAAUACAAAGUAAUUAUAAAAACGCAACACAAACAUAUACUCUAUACAUGUUAAACCAUUACAUUCCAUUAAUAUACAUGUUUUACUAAACCCAGACAUACUCUCCUUAAAAAACAACACAUAACUAUAACGUCUAAGGAGACAUUUUAUCUUCCCAUCAUCACUUUUAUCUAUAAAUGUUUUGUCAGACUUCUGUACUUUCAACUCUUCUAUCCGGUGCUCAGUAACUUGUGCUUGAGAUACAUGUCCUUUAAAUCAGAAUAGUAAGACAAUAAUGUCUGGAUACCUAUAUGGAUUUAGACACAAUAAAUCAAAACAGUUUAAUAAAAAAAAUCUUUAAUUUCAAAAUACUAUAUANNNNNNNNNNNNNNNNNNNNNNNNNNNNNNNNNNNNNNNNNNNNNNNNNNNNNNNNNNNNNNNNNNNNNNNNNNNNNNNNNNNNNNNNNNNNNNNNNNNNNNNNNNNNNNNNNNNNNNNNNNNNNNNNNNNNNNNNNNNNNNNNNNNNNNNNNNNNNNNNNNNNNNNNNNNNNNNNNNNNNNNNNNNNNNNNNNNNNNNNNNNNNNNNNNNNNNNNNNNNNNNNNNNNNNNNNNNNNNNNNNNNNNNNNNNNNNNNNUAUAUAUAUAUAUAUAUAGAGAGAGAGAGAGAGAGAGUCAAAAUCACUUGUGAAUCAGUAGUAUCCCGCGAACCUCUAUAAUCAUGCGAACUCAUUGCCGAAUAAUUUUUUCAAAAAAAAAAAGUGACUUAAUGCUUUUACUAGCUCUUAUUUAAGUGUUUUCGUAAUUAUAUCUUAAUAAAUGUGCACAUAUAAAUCAUGCAUAUAUGUAUAAAAGUAAGUGCAUUUUUUAUGUAUGCAUGAAACAAAAAUGCAUAUAUGCAACCUUCCUAUAUAUAUGCAUCCUUUUUUAAGAUUUAUUUUACCAAAACACUUAAGUAUGAGCGACCUAAUGUAUUAAGUCGCUUUUUGAAAAAGAAUAUUGGACAAAACAAUUCGCAAGAUUAGAAGGGUUUGCGGAAUAAUAUGGGUUGGCAAAAGAUUUUAACCUUGUAUAUAUGUGUGUAGUAAAUCGGGAUUGUCAAACCUUAUAUAGAUCUAAUGAUGUAGUAACAUGCUUUUAGCUUGCUUAAUUUGUUGUAGACUUCUACUUUUAUUUUAUUUUUUUUAUUUUUUUUGCUACUAUCUAUUUAGCUGGGUGUUUAUAAACUUUUUAGAUUUUCUAAAAAGAUUAUAUCUAACACCUAAUUACCAUAAGGAACUCUUCAAGAAUUAGAUUCUUGAUCGGAUUCUAAUUAAGAAUGAACUAUGAUUUUAUUGUAAAAAUCUACGGAAACUAGAAGUUAAUUAUAUCCUUAAGACCUUGACAUAUCUUAUAUAGACGACUAAAUUCCACAAACAAACAAACAAAAAUAGAUAAAAAAAAAAAAAAAAAACCGGACAAACCAAUAAUAAGUUCAAUACUAUUGAGAGAGAAUAAGAAAAUGUUUCAAUAUCAUAUGGUCAAACUUAAUUAAAGAAAUUUAAUGAAAAAUUAAAUGGCAUAAAUGUAAUGAAUACGAAAUUAAAUGAUAAUGUGUUCUUCAAAUAAAAUAAAAUAAAAUAAAAAUAAAAAUAAAAAUAAAAAAACUUUUUUAAUCACUAAAUGAAUAUAGUAAAUUAGGUUUUGUAAUAAUAAUUUUUUUUUUAAAUAUCUUUUGUUGAAUUUUAUAGAUUUCAAUGUAUUAUACGAAUAAUAAUAAUAAUAAUAAUAAUAAUAAUAAUAAUAAUAAUAAUAAUGUAUAAAAGAUAAAAUGAUAAGUUGGUAAUACAUAAAACUCUAUAGAACUGAUACAUUACAAGUGUAUUAGAGUAUCACAAGGGUCAUAGUAUCAUAAUAUCUAAUAUCUAUUCAGAAAAAAUACCAAUGAAUUAACUAGUAUUUUCUUGAAUCAUCAUGGUCAUAUUUAAACUAUGCAGACGUGAUAAUGUUUAAAUAUCAACUAAAAUAUAUGAGACGCAUAUUACUUCUUAUCUAAAAUAUAUGACAUUCAAUUUAAUAUCUACUUUUCACAUAAUUUCCGUAACUUUAGAGUUUAUAGAUUUAGGAAACAUUGGAGUUACUAAUGGGGCAGGAGCUUUAACCUUCUAGCCGCUCGCUAACUGAUUAAAAUCAGAAAUAAUUCCACUAAUCCACUACUCAAUGUAAGUUACGCAAUCUCCAUCUAAUUAACAACCUUUAAGGCUUUAAAAGGAACAAAUGAUGUCAGCAUGAUAUAAUAAUAUCAAAUAAAGGAGCUUACCAACUCCUGAGUAUUGACUCGACCAUGUCCAUGUUGGUUGGCCAAGUCAACAUGUUGAUCACCCACUAAUGAAAGGACCAUGCCACCACCUUCCUUGGUCAUAAUUCACCAACUCCCUUCCCUAUAUAUUUCGAUAAGUUAUCCCCUAUCAUCUCAGGUUCACUUUUACAGCCUAAUAUAAUACCUAUCAUUAUUUCACGCACCAAUAUCCCAUCCGAAUGGCUGCUACCGGAGAAGCUCAGCCCGCAAAGCACCAAGAAGUUGGCCACAAAAGCCUCCUUCAAAGCGAUGCUCUCUACCAAUACAUUCUGGAAACCAGCGUUUAUCCGAGAGAGCCACAACCAAUGAAAGAGCUACGCGAGGUCACUGCUAAACACCCAUGGUAUAAUAAGUGCAUUAACUUACCCAAAGUUUACUAUAUACUGAAUAUUUAGGGGUGCAUUUCAUUUUUCUAAAUCAUUUGCUUGUCAUUUGAACUAUAGGAAUCUUAUGACGACAUCUGCAGAUGAAGGACAAUUUUUGAAUAUGCUUCUCAAACUCAUAAAUGCCAAGAACACGAUGGAGAUUGGUGUUUACACAGGUUAUUCACUUCUUUCUACGGCCCUUGCUCUCCCAGAGGAUGGAAAGAUAUUGGCUUUGGACAUAAACCGUGAAAAUUAUGAAAUUGGGCUUCCGAUCAUUGAGAAAGCCGGUGUUGCCCACAAGAUUGAUUUUAGAGAAGGCCCUGCUCUUCCUCUUCUUGAUGAAAUGGUCAAUGAUGUAAGUACUUACAAACAUAUAAAAGAUAUUGUUUUUUUUUUAAUGUAUAUUUUCUCCAAAUUAUGAAAACUCAUUUUGCUUUGCACAUUUUGAACUACAGGUGAAACUUCAUGGAUCGUUUGAUUUUAUUUUUGUGGAUGCUGAUAAAGACAACUAUCUUAACUACCACAAAAGGUUAAUUGACCUUAUCAAAAUUGGAGGUGUCAUUGGCUACGACAACACCCUUUGGAACGGGUCUUUAGUGGCCCCACCAGAUGCACCACUCAGGAAGUAUGUUAGGUAUUACAGAGAUUUCGUGUUGGAGCUUAACAAGGCAUUGGCCGUUGAUCCGAGGG
rnacentral:lncRNA from 1 species